CCAGGCUCUACCUGAGUGUAGCGGUGCACACAUAUGAAAAGUACUGGUUCUGGUACCAGGUGGGACCAGUGGCCAGCAGUGCACCAGGCCAUCACCGAUAUGAUAAAGAGAGCACAGAUGUAAGCAGACGAUAACAAUUCAGGCAGGACUGCCCCACCCACCCACACCUGAUUCUGGAAGGUCUUUCCUCAGCCUGAGGGAUCCAAAGGACUCACCACAGCAGCUGCCUGUUGUGCUGUCUCUCCCUGGCGGCCACCUCCUGGUGAACACUCCUCACCCUGUCCUGGUAAACCUGCGGGAGAUGAGGAAGACUGGAGGC
rnacentral:lncRNA from 1 species